CAGAGAGGCCAUGCAGAGACGAAGGCAGAGAUGGGGUGAUGUGACCACAGCCCAGAAUUGUCAGUGGGAAGGGCAGGAAGGUUCCUAGCCAGGUGUCAGUGGUGGCGCUGGCCAGCCUGGUCACAUGUGCCCUCCUGGGGAUGCCUGCUGGGCCUGGCUGCCACAGGGAUGGAUGUGGCCUGCAAGCAGCAAGAGGUGCAAAGGUCUUGCCACUUGCCCUGAACACGUGACUCCCUACCAUGGCCACGGGGUGUGAGCUGGAGAACCAGACGCCCACUCCCAGAGGUGCCGCAUCCCUCUGUGCCCCAGGAUCUGGGACAGGUCACUCGCACCCCAAACUCCUGGCAGCCCUGCAGUGGGAAAUCUCUCAUGGCACCCGUGUCCAGAGUGUCACAGCGCUGCAUUCAUCUCCCUCAGUCAUCUAAAAUCAGAUGUACAGGGUGGUCUUUGUCAUAUUCACCUAUUUCUGCCUCAGUUUUUUUGACAGUGCCCUUCGCAGAAGAGCGCUCCAAACCAGAGCGCCCAGAGCCCGGGUGCUGACACAGGAGCGUCUGAGCUCACUGAGACUUCUGCCUUCAGCCCAAGAUCAG